CAAGCCUGAUACUCAGAAUCCACAUGGUAGAAGGAGAGACCUAAUUCCCAUAACUUGUUCUUUGACCUUCACAUGGAUAUAGGUCUCGUGUGUGUGUGUGUGUGUGUGUGUGUGUGUGUGUGUGUGUGUGUGUAUGCAUAAACACAAGAAAUAAUGUAAACAAUUUUUAAAAAAUUAACAUUGGGUGUUUCUGGUUUGCUACCUGCAAAAAAUGAAAGUUAGAAAGUAUGCUUUUUAAAAUAGGAUUUGAGGGCUGGAGAGAUGGCUCAGAGGUUAAGAGCACUGGCUGCUCUUCCAGAGGGCCUGAGUUCCAGAGGUUCUGAGUUCAAUUCCCAGCAACCACAUGGUGGCUCAUAACCAUCUAUAUUGAGAUCUGGUGCCCUCUUCUGGCCUGCAGGCAUGUAGGCAGAAUGCUGUGUACAUAAUAAAUCUCAAACAAAAAAGAAUUUGGGGGUUCAAGAGAUGGCUCAGUGGUUAGGAGCACUUGUUUUUGCUGAGGACACAGGUUCAAUUCCCAGCACGUGGAGGAUUCCAACCAUUGGUUUUCCAGUUUCAGGAGAUUGAAUGCUGCUAUAUUCUAGCCUACUUAGGCAUGUAUGUAGUAUACAUGCAUAUAGACGAGACACAUAAAAACAAACAAAUAAGUUUAUUUAAGGUGGUGGUGGCUUACACCUUUAAUCCCACUACUCGGGAAGUAAAGGCAGGUAGACCUCUGUAAAUUUGAGGCCAACCUGAUCCUACAAAGCUAGUUCCAGGACAUCCAAGGCUACGCAAGAAAUCCUGUCUGGAAAAUCAAAAACCAACCAACCAACCAAUCAACCAUCCAAACAAACAAACAAGCAAACCAAACAAAAGACAAAGCAGAAUGUGAAGGGCUGGAGUGAUGGAAGGGCUGGAGUGAUGGAAAGGCCGGAGUGAUGGAAGGGCUGGAGUGAUGGCUCAAUUUGCAGAGCUUUUGAUGUGCAAGCAAGAAGACCCGAAUUUGGUCCCUGUAGAAAGCUGGGCAUGGUCCAUGUGGCUGUAACCUCAAAGCUGUGAGUGGCAGAGCACAGGAGGAUUCCUGGGGCUUGCUGGCUGUGGGCUUAGCUCCAGGUUCAGCGGGAGAACCUGUUGCAAGGGAAAUAGGCAGAGAGCAGCAGAAUGGGGCAUCCAGUGUUCUACUCUGACCCCAGAGUCUCAGAAUUCUUACAUCCAGCAUGUGCACGUGUGUGUACACUCAAGGUCUAAUUGGUUUCGUUGGCUAUAAAUCAAAUGUGCUGGAUUGCUAGAUGAAAGGGAUUUUACUCGAGAUUAUAGAUGAAAACUGGCCCGCCUGUUAUUUUAUUUAUUUAUUUAUUUAUUGGUUCUUUUUUUCGGAGCUGGGGACCGAACCCAGGGUCUUGCGCCCGCCUGUUAUUUUUUAUCUAAAAUUUGCCAUGACCCUGAUGGCAGGUGCCGGUUGUCAAGAAUAACAGCAUCAGAAUAGUAGAACAUAUGUAAUGUGUAUGUGGCAUAUGGUCAGUACAUGAUUGGUCAUGAAUGGAUGAAUGAAUGAAUUCCUCCCAGACUGUCAAAUACAAUCAAAUCAUUGAAACACUUGCCAUUCACUGUUAGACUGCAAUGUCUUGAUCCCACUAAUGAACGUGAAUGGAACAUGAAUGGGAUAUGAUUUUUCAUUCAUAAAAUUUUUUUUCACAAACCUAAAUGCCAUUGAAAGUUGAGUCUCUGCCCUGACGAUGUGGAUACUGAUCGGUGGCUCUCUCCUUUCACCCACUUUCUGCACACCAGAAAGUAGCACUGGGUAAAACCUGGGCCAACUGGGGUUGGGGAUUUAGCGCUUGCCUAGCAACCACAAGGCCCUGGGUUCGGUCCCCAGCUCCGAAAAAAAGAAAAAAAGAAAAAAAAACAAAAAAACAAAAAAAAAACAAAAAAAUCCCUGGGCCAACAGGACCAGGAUGAGGGCAGAUGGCCACAUUCCUAUACAGAUGCUCAGCUUCACAAGGAGAGCCACUGUCAGCUCCUCAGCACCCCUGACUCAUCAGCUUGGUGUCCUGUGUGCCUGUGGAGGGGGAGCCCUCUGGGCCAGCGAUUGGCUGGGGACAGCUAGCGUACCCGUGGGAAAAUUUUCUCAACUGCUCCAAAAGCAGCUUCCGGGAAGAUAAGGAAAACAUCAUCUCUGCCCACAAGGAGUGGGGCAGAUUGGAAUGCAGACCGGAAGUCAGCUGCGCUCAGGUCAGCUCUCCUGCUCUGGGGCUUUAACCAAAGCAACGCGGAGUUCUUCUCUCGGGAUGGAAAACAAAUUCCUUGGAAUACCGGUCAGCUUGCUCACCGGCAGCUGUCUCCAGUCUCACCUCCGGAGCAGAAUGCCCUUCUGACGUUCCCGAGAACACACCAAAGGCCACUUCUGCAGACUUGGAAACACUGACUGUCUUCUACACUAGCACUACCCAAUGGGAACCUGUGCCCAAGGCAGACAGACCCCACACCGAGGCCUGCUAUGCCUUCUUGCUUUACGGUCUCCUCUUUUCCUCCUUCUCCGCCUCCUCUCCCAGGGUCCCAUGUAGCUCAGGUUUGCCUCCAAUUUUGCUUCGUGGGUAAGGAUAACUUUGAACCCCUUAUCUUCCUCCUGCUGUCUCCCAUGCAGUUGGCUGAGGGGCAUGCCCCCUGCACAUUUUCAUGCAGAUUUUGGACCACAAGAGUUUGUAAUUUUCUAAUGUAGUUUUUGUGAGAGAAGAUUCAAGGGCAUUAAAAAAAAAAAAAAAAAAAAAAAAAGACCACACAAGAACAGAUUAAAAUUGAAGAAGAAAGAGCCCAAGGGGAUUGGGUUCCACUCCAACAACUGGUUGUCUUCCUCACACACACAAAAUUACAAACUAGGGAAUGCUCAAAGCGCAGCACAGACUCAGGUUGUCCCGCGAGGAGCUUCCCAAAGGCUGUGUUCAUGACGUAUCCAGCAGAACUUCUGCACUGAGUGCUUAGAACUUGAGUGGGUUAGCGUUGGGAGAGGAGCAUGUAAGGCCAGGCCCGCCCUUUGCAGAGUGGGACGCUGAGAGCCAGGCAGGGGUAUGGCUGCCAGGAGCAGGAUAGGGGAUGCUCCGUAGUCCUUGGAAGGCUGCGGAGGUAGUCAAGCCUGCUCAGAGUUAACUCUCUCCCUCUCCCUCUCUCUCUCUCUCUCCUCCUCCUCCCCGUCUUUCUUUCUGCUCCUCCUCGUCUCUCUCCUGAGUUGGAAUUUCUUAAAGCCCCUUCAUGGUCACCCUGCUUCUAACUCUUAGUAACCCCAAUUCUGAGGCCUCACUGGCAGCCACUGGAAGAAUGGUUCCAAACCUCGCUUUUCUGGAAUGUCAAAAGCGCCCAUGAUGCAUCUCUCUGGCAGACACAGUGGAACUGUUCCUGGGUGGUUUGUGUAAGGUCACAAGAUAUUGAAUCUUCCUUUUCUCCA